UUCCCCGUGGGUUGCUGGCAUCCCAGUGAGACUCUGAAUCUCAUGUACCUAGGUUCGAUUCCUGGCGGGGAAGC
rnacentral:tRNA from 1 species